GAUAAGCAUCUGAUUAAACAGAAUUUUGCUUGCUUUACGUAAAUAAACUUAAAAAAUUAGAUGAAUUUUCUUCAUAUAUAUACCCUUAACUUAUCUUUUAUACGUACAAAAGAAUCAGUAGCUGGAAUACUUGGAAACUUUUGAAACCAAAAUUGAAGGAAAAAUGAAGUUUUACGGACUCCUUGUACUAAUUACUUGCUUGUUUGCUGUUUUGAAAGCCGACAGUUGUAAAGAUGAACUGGAAGAAGCUCAAAAAAUGGUUAAACAGGGUGUUCAAGACUAUCCUGUUCCUUCGUGUAGCGCAGAUGGUACAUACGCUCCUCAGCAAUAUGGAAGCUUUGGAAAUUGCUACUGUGUAGAUCCCAACGGAAAUAGAGUGGACAAAAAGUGCCCUUGCAGUUAAAUUAUUUUAUUUAUGCAUAAUGUACUGUGAUUUUUUCUAACCAGGCGAAAAAUAAAUAUUGAAAUUUCAUUAUGAA